UUGAUUUGGUGUUCAGCAGCAUAAGUGUCUGACCACUGAAGAGAACGCAAGUUCUACAGCUACAGCAGGUCAAUCCACCAAUAUAUGUCAUGCACCAUGGGCAGAUGUAUCGAAGGUGCGUACCUGAGCUAUUUUUUAGAAAGUAUUAGCCACGUUACAAUUUGAUGACAUUACAGAAGCCUCACAAUAGGUGUUUAACGUACCAGCAAAUCUGACGCCCGACUGUGCAGUCGAUGACGUGGCACGCAACCAUUGGUUGAUGAAAUGUAGUCAGUCUGGAAUGUGACUCUUGUAAUGUGACAUCAUAACUCUUAAUAUACAUUUACACCCCUUUAGAGAACAGUUAGUCAUGAUAUGGCUGUGCUGUUGAUGAUAACUGAAGGGUGGGGAAACAAUGACUGACACAUGUCUGUUUAUAAAUGUGCAGGAUUAUAAAUGUAUACAUUUAUAAAGGUUUAUAAAAUGUAAAGAUGUUAUAUCAUCAUGCUAUGCAACCAUAGAUAGGACAUGAAACAAAAAAAAAUAUAUUUUGUGUUGUCUAAUUCUGCAGUUUGCAAGCUGGUCUUAUGGGUUGCAGUUUGUGUGACCUUCAUCGUCUUGGGUGCCGUGUACAUUGAUGACUGCCCAGUGAAACGUAUCAUACCUAUCCACAUGAUCAUUUCUGGAUCUUUCGGUCUCCUCUAUGUAUUCUUCUCCUGCUACAAGGACCGUGUUGUGUGCCAACAUUUGUCUAAACUAUUUUGGUUCAUGAUCAUCAUCUGGCUCAUUAUUGGCCAUUUUUGGACCUUCUCUGUAUUCCAACCCAACUACGAACGGAAAGAGAUCAUCGGCAACACGGUAUACUGCAACAAAUCUCUAUACCUCUUUGUGGCCUCUACCACCAUCAUAUUGGACAUUAUUAUAUGUGUGUGGCUGCUUGUGUUGUUCGAUGUAUGUAAAUGCUUCAUACUUUGUCUGUUCUGCUGUGUCUCUUUAUGCAUGUCUGACGAUGUCAAACCUGUGGAGGUUGUUGAGCCUUUGAGGGUUGUGGAGACUGAGGACUGUGUUGAACCUAAGGAGUGUGUGGGGACUGACGGAAGUGUGGGGACUGAAGUGUGUGUGGGGACUGAAGUGUGUGCGGGGACUGAAGUGUGUGCGGGGACUGAAGUGUGUGUGGGGACUGAGGUGUGUGUGGGGACUGAGGUAUGUGUGGAGACUCAGGAGAGAGUGGGGCAUGACGAGAGUGUGGGACAUGAAGAGAGUGUGAGUCCAACACUGCUCAAUAUUAAUGCAAUUCACUAUUCACAAUACCAAUAG
rnacentral:lncRNA from 8 species